CACACUCUCUCUUCAAGCCUGGAGUGGUGAGUAUUGCACAGGAUUCUGUGCAGGGAUAGAGGAUACCUUCUAAGGGUUCUUUGUAGACAUGGGUGAACUCAGGCAAUCUCUUUAAGCUUUGAUUCUCCCUGGGAAGGAGUGAAGCCAGCACUGUUUAAAGACACUGGAGCCCAGAAAGCCAAGCACUCUGUCACUAAGCAGGAGACUGUCAAGUGCCUGACCCCAGUGGCAAGGCUUCCAGAUUCUUCUGAAUCAAACCUGUUAUAUCCAACUGGAAUCCUCCUGGAAAACAUACAAAGAUGAGUUCUUAAGAACGUCAGAAGGAAAGAGCUGAUUUCUUCAUCCAGUCACUGGAUACCAAGUAAACAUCCUGAUACCUCUGAGGAGAGCCAGACAAUGGAUUCUGUGAAUAAUCUGUGCAGGCACUAUGAGGAGAAGGUGCGGCCCUGUAUUGACCUCAUCGACACCCUGAGGGCUCUGGGUGUGGAGCAGGACCUGGCCCUGCCUGCCAUCGCUGUCAUUGGGGACCAGAGUUCUGGGAAGAGCUCUGUGCUGGAAGCACUGUCUGGAGUGGCCCUCCCCAGAGGCAGUGGUAUUGUUACCAGAUGCCCUCUGGUGCUGAAAUUGAGGAAGCUGAAAGAAGGAGAGGAGUGGAGAGGCAAAGUCUCCUAUGAUGACAUUGAAGUGGAGCUCUCUGAUCCUUCAGAGGUGGAAGAGGCCAUUAACAAGGGUCAGAACUUCAUUGCUGGGGUAGGCCUGGGGAUCAGUGAUAAGCUCAUUAGCCUGGAUGUCAGCUCCCCAAAUGUCCCAGACCUGACUCUCAUUGACCUGCCUGGAAUUACCAGGGUGGCUGUAGGCAACCAGCCUGCAGACAUAGGACGCCAGAUCAAGAGACUUAUCAAGACAUACAUCCAAAAACAAGAGACCAUCAACCUGGUGGUAGUCCCCAGCAAUGUGGACAUUGCUACCACAGAGGCUCUGAGCAUGGCUCAGGAGGUGGACCCUGAAGGGGAUAGGACCAUAGAGAUGGUCCAAACUGCCUUCGUAAAGAUUUUAUCAAAUGAUUUUGGUGAUUUUUUAAACCUCUGCUGUACUGCUAAGUCCAAAAUUAAAGAAAUAAGAUUAAACCAAGAAAAGGAAGCUGAAAACCUGAUCCGACUUCACUUCCAGAUGGAACAGAUUGUCUACUGCCAGGACCAGGUUUACAAGGAAACCUUGAAGACGAUCAGAGAGAAGGAAGCUGAGAAAGAGAAGACCAAGGCAUUAAUAAACCCUGCUACCUUUCAAAAUAACUCUCAGUUUCCUCAAAAGGGGUUGACUACCACUGAGAUGACCCAGCACCUGAAAGCCUACUACCAGGAGUGCAGACGGAAUAUUGGGAGACAGAUCCCUCUGAUUAUCCAGUACUUCAUCCUGAAAACAUUUGGGGAGGAAAUAGAGAAAACGAUGCUUCAGCUUUUACAGGACACCAGUAAGUGCAGCUGGUUCCUGGAGGAGCAGAGUGACACCAGAGAGAAGAAGAAGUUCCUGAAGAGGCGGCUUUUAAGGCUGGAUGAGGCUCGGCAGAAGCUUGCCAAAUUCUCCGAUUAACCAGGCUAGCUAUGUGGCUUUCCUGGUCGCUGUGCAAUGAUCCUUUAGCUGCUAACCUUAUGUCAGAACGUUGCCUUUAGACUGUGGAAGCAAGCAAGCCCUUUGUAAACUCUGAGGAGAUGAGGAGAGAGGAGCUAUGGAGAGUCAUUCUACUUCAGCAGGAAGACAUGACCCUCUCAAAGCCUAGGAGGAUGGCACCUCUCAGGAUCCUGCUCCUGUCUUUUCUUUGUCAGGAGGAUGUACUGGCUGAGCACCUCAGAAGGGUCGGCUUCUGGUUUUGUACUGUCCUGUCUGGAAGCAGUGCGAGAGGUGCCACAGGGUCCUGGUAGGACAGCUCUUCGUAGGCAUACAUUUUUUUUUGCAAAAAUUUUAACAAGGAUUCCACCUCUCUUUUAGCCCACCACCCAUCAGAGGUAGUGGAAGAGAAAAGUUAUUAGGCUAUGGAGGAAGUGGACCUGUUCAGCAAUAGUUCUUUGGGGGCAAGCUCAGUCUUCCUUGGCAGCAGUUCAGUCCCAUAACAAACACCAAGUAUGACUCAGCAGCUGCAGACCAGUCCUCUAGGCAGGCAGACACCACAUACAACCAGCAGCUAUAGUCCAGUCCUUUCCACAGGCAGAAACCAAGAAUGAAUCAGCAGCUGAAGUUCAAUCUUGAUGAAAGCUUGCCAUCUAGCCUGAGGUGAGGCUGCAGAAGCAACAAACUGCUGCAGGAACCUCACAAGUAGUUCUUAGGUGAGUUUCUCUCAAUGUCAGUGUUACCACAAGUGGAGCUCAACCAUGCUAUGUAAGGCAAACCAUUCCAUGCAUGUUGAUAGUAAAGAAUAGCUAGACAGAGCAAACCAAGCCAAGGCUCCGUUGCUCAUCUCCAACUGUUUGUGAGGUCAUAUUUAUACUCCUUCAUCAUGGGUCCUUUCAUGUAUUUGCAAUGUCAUAUGAAAGCAUCCUUUCAGCUGUGUCUGCUUCAGGGAAACAUUCUUUCAUGUGUUUGCUUCAGCAAGACAUCAUUUCACCUGUGUACCCCAGCAAAACAUCAUUUGAUAUAACUAACUUUCCAAGGAAACUGGACGUUUCCACUUUAGCGCUUCCAAUAAAAUUCUUGCUAAGUGAC